GUUUAGCCCAGAUUGAAGCAUUUGUUUGAGCUCUUUUUUACCUUUUUAGGUUAAAAAAGCGAGUGCGUAAAGCUGGAAAUAGC
rnacentral:sRNA from 1 species